AAACUGGCAAGUGGUUGCGUUCAAUCCGUCUGAACCCGCCCGCAACUAAUGGAUAAAAUGAUGUGCCCCCCCAUGGGGCAUGAAGAUCAGAGAGGUGAUGUAUGUACAAGUGACUCCAUGAAAUCUUAGCUGCUGUUUAUUAAUAUUAUGAUGGGGACUGUGGACUCCUUCAGGCCAGACACAAUAUAUGCGCACGUUUUUCGGGUUGUCCCUCACUAUGCGGAAGGAGCCAGUUUCACCUCCAUUUGCACCUUCCGGUCAGUAUUUCAGGUCUGUGCCUGUUCU